UGGGACUCUAACCAUAGGCCAUGAAUCUGGUCUUGGGACACUGUCAGGUGGGCAGUUUGACUGGGGCGGUCGCCUCCCAAAAGGUAACGGAGGCGCUCAAAGGUUCUCUCAGUACGGUCGGAAAUCGUACGUAGAGUGUAAAGGCAAAAGAGAGCUUGAUUGCAAGACAUACAGGUCGAGCAAGGAUGAAAAUCGGACUUAGUGAUCCGGUGGUUCUGCGUGGAAGGGCCAUCGCUCAACGGAUAAAAGCUACCCUGGGGAUAACAGGCUUAUCUCCCCCAAGAGUCCACAUCGACGGGGAGGUUUGGCACCUCGAUGUCGGCUCAUCACAUCCUGGGGCUGUAGUAGGUCCCAAGGGUUGGGCUGUUCGCCCAUUAAAGUGGUACGCGAGCUGGGUUCAGAACGUCGUGAGACAGUUCGGUCCCUAUCCGUCGCAGGCGUAGGAAAUUUGAGAAGACCUGUCCUUAGUACGAGAGGACCGGGAUGGACGUACCUCUGGUGUACCAGUUGUCCUGCCAAGGGCAUGGCUGGGUAGCUAUGUACGGAAUGGAUAAGCGCUGAAAGCAUCUAAGCGCGAAGCCAACUUCAAGAUAAGAUUUCCCACCG
rnacentral:rRNA from 1 species